GAGAGCAUCUGUCUGCAUGGUGACGUCACCCUGCCUUCUCCUGCUCCUGAAUCCUCUGCCGUCCGCACCGUCCGGGAGGAGGAAUCCAAACAACUCAGCGUCAAAAACAACACGGUGCUUUUCAUCAUCCAUGGAGAAGACGGGAGGAGGAGAGAGGGGGAGGAUGUGGAGGCUGCGGGAUGGAUCCUGGAGGAGAUUAUGCGACACAGGCAGUAACAGAGAUCAGCGUUCCCUGUGCUUCUCCUCUCCCUGCUGCGGGUCUUGCGGGACUCGCUGCCUCUGUGCACUGAUCAGCCUGAUGGAGACGGAGUCAGCUGAAAGAUGCCAGCAUCUCUAAAUUACAGACGGUUGAAGGAAGAAGCUGCAGUGGGUUAGGCGGAAUGCGGCGGUUCGGGCCUGUUUGGAUCAUGUAGGCUAACGUUGCAUGGUCGGCCUGCAGACUCAUCUGCUCCAUUCAUUGGGUGGAGGAAAACACUGUUAUAUAAGACUCCAAAAGGAUCAGAUAUGAUUGAACCUGUCCUGAAUGCAUGACGUCGUUGCAUUUAGAUCAAAUGUUGAUCAUGUAAUCCAGCAUUUCUAUUACAACAAACUUACUACUCUUUUAUGCACAUAUUAAGGAAAUGAGGCUGUGUGAUAAUCUGAAACAAAGAAAAAACAACAGAGACCUUUUUCUUUAUAUUCUACUUCCUCCUGUGUACCAGACCACAGGAGGAAGUCUCUCAUAUCAGUCACCUGGUUCUGCUCCGUCAUGGCCGUCUGCCUGAUGCCCUUGACAUGUCAAGCAGAACAAAUGAUCAGGAACAUGCAUGUUCUUGUGCAGUUGGUAAAUGUUUGGACAUCUGUGACCUUCUAUGAUUUCUACCUGCUGUUUACUUGACCAUGUGUGUUUCUUGGCUCCUUUCUCUCCGUGUUCACAGUGGACCUUGAUUUAAAAUCAGUCAAUUAAGGCACGCGGUGAAUGCCAAGAGAGAAGUCUCACUACAACGCUGGAAUUGAACGUGACUGUGCAUUUUGAUUUUGCUGUUCCAGGUUUUGCAUCCAUUCUCCACCAGCUUAGACAUGAUCAUAAAGAGCAUGUGUGAUAUUUCCUUUGCUGACUUAUUAAAGUCCAGCUUGGAUACAAAUGGUUCCGUCUCAGUCAAGAGAGUGACAGCACAUGAAAAAUAUACCACAUUGUUGAAUUAAUACUUGUAAACGUUCUGUAACAUUGACAAAAAAAUAAAGUACAGUCAUAUUGAA